GUCGACAUGCACACUCGAAAACUUGUGAACUUCUCCGAAACUAUUUUCUCCUAUGUGGUGAACUUUAGGUCUGCCGUCUUUCAUCCAUUCUUUGUAUGACGUUCUUUAGCUAACUUAUGAAUUCGCAAUAGAGGUAUAGCUGCUGCCGUGUAACAGCCACCAGCAUCUCCUGACAUACUUAGUAAAAGAAUGCUAGGAUGCUUGUAUCGAUUCAAUUUAACUAGCUGCAAUACGACCUGUACCAGCGUAGGUGCCUGUGACUUUAAAACUCAAACACACGCCAAUGUCAUGUGUAUGUGCCGAAAGGCUCUUUCCCUAGGCUCCUUUCUUUUGCUCCUUUAACUGGUGCAAAGCCAGCCACGAGCGACUGCAGUGAAUUUUGUAAACUAAAAGGAGUUUUGCUGCCAAGGUGAUGUAGUAAAACUCUUAGGUAUCUCUAAGCUGUACAAUCGGUAGCUGCGGCUUUCGAAAAAAAAGUUUAGCUGCGAGAACACUAAGUAAUGUAUAUACUCGUUUCAGCGGCUGUUCUGUCCACUUAUGCUGCCCAAAAGCAAACAAGCCUGAUGAUGUCGGAUAUCACCAUCUCAGUGCUUCGUACCAGUUCGGCUACCAAUGUGCAAAUACCAGUAAGUGAUGGAGGGUGCAUGGAGGCUGGAUCUUCGUGCAUUGGAGCUGGAGGUGAUGCAAUUUUGCAUUAAGUUCAUCAGCCAUUGCACCAGCACCAAGUGACGGGAAGGCACAUGCUCAGGCCAGACCAUCCGGCAUCAGGAGAGGAGGUGGUGGUGAGCACCUCAGCGUUUAGCGUUUCUGUUCACUGUCUAAGGUGUAUUUUCGUUCCAGCUGCUGAGUGGACCGAGGGACAGACAAAGCUGCUACUAGAAUACUACUAUAAGUGCUUCCCACAGAUUGGCCCAUUCAAGAAAUAAAAAAAAAAUGCUUUCAAGCAAAUCUCCAUGGAUGUUGAGGCUGUACAUGGUAUCAAGAAAACGGCAGAGUAAUGUGAGAACUGGUACAAGACUGUGAUCAGAUGUCGCAAGGCUGCCUCAGACAACAACAGAUCUGGGGCCCCACCGAGCCCUGUGCUAUUCGAUGACGAGAUUCGCAAAAUAGAAACCAUUGACGAUAGCAUUGAACCAGAAGUGCAACGAGAUGCCUCGGGGGUUAUUUUCAAGGACUGACCGGAACCUAGAACGCUAGUCUCACCGAAUGCAGAGAGCAUUGAGAAUAAUGAAAGCCAGUCACCAAAUGCUGAUGUAAAACCGCGCGCAAGCACUGCACGCUUGCAACACAUGCAACUGUCUUUUUUUUUCUGAAAUGAGGGCUAUUACUGAAGAGCGGGAGUGUCGAAAAGCAGCCAGAGAUCCUGGGAAAAAUAUCGCUGAGCUCAAAGGCAGAUUGAGCUACAGGCACUUCAUGAAGAACGGCGCAAAAUGCACGCUCAGAGAAUGAAAAUCCUGCGUCAAGCCUUCGGUCUUCAGAAAUAAAAUAUUUCAUAUUCAGGACUAGUACAAGAGACGGUAAAGCAAGCAAGAAGCGACAGGACAACAUGCAAGAAAUUGCGUGUUGUCCUGCCCUAUAUGCUUUUGAAUUCCGUGUUAUGUGCUAGUC